GCAUAUCAAUAAGCGGAGGUAAAGAAACCAACAGGGAUUGUCUUAGUAACGGCGAGUGAAGCGACAAAAGCUCAAAUUUGAAAUCUGGCACCUUCGGUGUCCGAGUUGUAAUUUGAAGAAGGUAACUUUGGAGUUGGCUCUUGUCUAUGUUCCUUGGAACAGGACGUCACAGAGGGUGAGAAUCCCGUGCGAUGAGAUGUCCAACUCUACGUAAAGUGCUUUCGAAGAGUCGAGUUGUUUGGGAAUGCAGCUCUAAGUGGGUGGUAAAUUCCAUCUAAAGCUAAAUAUUGGCGAGAGACCGAUAGCGAACAAGUACAGUGAUGGAAAGAUGAAAAGAACUUUGAAAAGAGAGUGAAAAAGUACGUGAAAUUGUUGAAAGGGAAGGGUUUGAGAUCAGACUUGGUAUUUUGUAUGUCUUGCUUUCGGGUGGGGCCUCUGCAGUUUACUGGGCCAGCAUCGGUUUGGACGGUAGGAUAAUGACAUUGGAAUGUGGCAC
rnacentral:rRNA from 1 species